rnacentral:lncRNA from 1 species
UAGGAGGUACAGUUGUGGUUGCUGUAGGAGUUACAAUGGUAGUUGGACCUGCAGUUGUGAUUGGUGUUGUAGGAGCUGCAUUUGUUGUAGUAGGAGCUGCAGUUGUCGAAGGGGAUGUUGUUGUGGUUGUCGUAGGUGCUUCAUUUGUUGUUGUAUGAGCUGCUGUUGUGGUUGUCGUAGUAGCUAGAUCAGUUGUGGUGGUCGCAGGUUCUGCAAUUAUUGUCAUAUUAGAAGCUGUUGUUGUGGUUGUCGUAGGUGCUAUAGUUGUUGUAGAAGAAGCUUUAGUUGUGGUUGUAGUAAGGGCUGCAGUAGUGGCUGUGGAUGUAGCUUCAGUUGUGGUUGUAGUAGGGAAUGCAGUAGUGGUUGUGGAAGCAGCUACAGUUGUUGUAGUCGGAGCUGCAGUUGUGGUUGUCAUAGGAGUUAAAAUCGUAGUAGGACCUGCUGUUGUGAUUGGCGUUGUUGGAGCAGCAGUUGUCGAAGGGGACGUGAUUGUGGUUGUCGUAGUAGCUUGAUCAGUUGUGGUGGUCGCAGGUUCUGCAAUUAUUGUCGUAGUAGAAGCUGUAGUUUUGAUUGGAGUUGUAGGAGCUUCAGUUGUUGUUGUAGGAGCUGCAGUUGUCGAAUGGGAUGUUGUUUUGGUUGUUAUAGGUGCUAUAGUUGUUGUAGAAGAAGCUUCCGUUGUGUUUGUAGUAAGGGCUGCAGUCAUGGUUGUGGAUGAAGCUUCAGUUCUGGUUGUAGUAGGGAAUGCAGUAGUGGUUGUGGAAGCAGCUACAGUUGUUGAGGUCGGAGCUGUGGUUGUGGUUGUCAUAGGUGUUAAAAUUGUAGUAGGACCUGCAGUUGUGAUUGGCAUUGUUGGAGCUACAGUUGUUGUAGUUGGAGCUGCAGUUGUGGUUGUCAUAGGAGUUAAAAUGGUAGUUGUAUCUACAGUUGUGAUUGGCGUUGUAGGAACUACAGUUGUUGUUGUCGGAGCUGCAGUUGUCGAAGGGGAUGUUGUUGUAGAAUAAGCUUCAGUUGUGGUUGUAGUUGGGGCUACAGUAGUGCUUGUGGAAGCAGCUUCAGUUGUUGUUGUUGGAGCUGCUGCAGUUGUAUUGGCUGUAGGAGCUACAGUGGUUGUUGGAGGAGCUGCAGUUGUCGUAGUGACUGUUGUUGUUGUUGUAGAAGAUGCUUCAGUUGUUGUUGCAGUAGGGGCUUCAGUAGUGGUUGUGGGAGCAGCUUCAGUUGUUGUUGUAGGAGCUGCUGCAGUUGUAGUGUCUGUAGAAGCUACAGUGGUUGUAGUAGGAGCUACAGUUGUCGUAGGGGAUGUUUUUGUAGUUAUUGUAGAAGGAUUUUCUGUUCUGGUUGCAGUAGGGGCUGCUGUGGUGGUUGUGGAAGCAGCUACAGCUUGUGUUGUUGGAGCUUCUGCAGGUGUAGUGGUCGUUGGAGCUACAGUUGUUGUACUAGCUUCUGUUGUGGUUGUUGUAG